GUUACUGGAUUCUUCUACCAUGGUAAGUGAUCACUCUAACCCAUAGCCCUGGGGUAGAAUGGAAGGCUCUGUGGCUAUGGCAUAUUUGUGAGUAGAUGGCGUGAUAAGCGGAGGCACAAGAUUGAUGGGUGGGACUGGUCUCAGCCACCCCAGCCCAGAACAUGCAGAAAUGUGAACAAACCCACCUGCUAUCUGCCAGUGUUCAUCCGACUCUCAGAUCUAUAGAGUGUAGAGUGAACUUAAAUUGUUUCCUUCUGAAAUGCCCUAACUUGGAGAUGUGAGUUUCCAGAGAGCUACACAGUCAGAUGAAGCACUAGAAGAAAGGACUAAUAAUCCAGACUCCUUGGUUCCCAUGGUGCACUUCGCUUUAGAUCCCAGCAACAGGACUUACAGACAGCCAGGCUUUUCCAAUGACAGUGGUUUCACUGGGUCCUAGCUGAUGGUACUUCAAGGGCCUGAGCCUGGAGACAAAGAAACAAACGACUUCCUUUGAAUUUAUGGUGGGGUAAUACAGAAAGAAGUGUGCUUUUACCUCUCCUGGAUCUAUUAUCCAGUGAAAGUACACCCAGAAGCCUGUGCCAGAGCUAGUCCUGUGUGACAUUCAGCAUGCUGGUUACAGAUAUAUAGAGAUGACGGGUGGCAUUUAUCUGCAGAUAGGCCUGUUGACUCAAUCCUAGGGAAGCUACUUGUUGGCUGGAAAUAAGCCUCACCAACUACCUCUCCAUAGGUGGGAUGCUACAUCUGAAUAGAAAGUCUUGUUUUAUAGAUUAAGGGUGUGUGUUUCUUGUUUCACUGACUCCUUGGAUGAAUCCUUUCAUUCUAUGAGCUGAAGAACUUCAUAAGAAAUGGAGAAGGGGUAGUGAGUGGAGAAUGAUGUGGGAUUGGCGAAGGAACUCUCAGAGCAAGUAUCUAUAACUGCAGAGAAGAAAGAAUGUGUGCUGGCUGGUUUUGUGUGUCAACUAGAAUCAUCAGGAGAAACAAACCUCAGGCUGCAGUAAAUGUCACGGUGGUGAAAGAAGAGCCCUUCAGACAGUCUGAGGAGAGAGAAUGUUUUAUGAUCAUUGCUUCAUUCCACACAAAGGCCAUUAUUCUGUUGCUCUUCACAUCAUGUUAUAAAUGUGUCCCAGUCCACUCGGAUGCAUAAGGUUUGUUCCUCACAGCAAUUUGAUUUUGCCACUACUUUUC
rnacentral:lncRNA from 1 species